AAAGGACGCCGAGGGACAGAACCGAGCACGACGGCCCAUCUCAUUACAUCCUUAUAAAACCUCUUUAGAACAAACUCAGGAAAUCCGAAUAGAGAAAAAAAGAAGGCCCCACACAGACACGAGCAGUCACCGUAUGAUGAAGAAGUAUCUAUAUGGACGCAGACAACUUUUAAAUUCUGCCUCCCUGGUUUUGCAACUUUGCUGGAUGCUGGGGGUACAGCCAAGGUUAAACUUAACAUUUGCCUCACAAACUGAAGACAAAAAGUUGCAGAAUCUCACAGAAUAAAAGAGGAAUGGACCUAA
rnacentral:lncRNA from 1 species